rnacentral:rRNA from 1 species
GAUGAACGCUGGCGGCGUGCCUAAUACAUGCAAGUCGAGCGAACAGACGAGGAGCUUGCUCCUUUGACGUUAGCGGCGGACGGGUGAGUAACACGUGGGUAACCUACCUAUAAGACUGGGAUAACUUCGGGAAACCGGAGCUAAUACCGGAUAAUAUUUCGAACCGCAUGGUUCGAUAGUGAAAGAUGGCUUUGCUAUCACUUAUAGAUGGACCUGCGCCGUAUUAGCUAGUUGGUAAGGUAACGGCUUACCAAGGCAACGAUACGUAGCCGACCUGAGAGGGUGAUCGGCCACACUGGAACUGAGACACGGUCCAGGCUCCUACGGGAGGCAGCAGUAGGGAAUCUUCCGCAAUGGGCGAAAGCCUGACGGAGCAACGCCGCGUGAGUGAUGAAGGUCUUCGGAUCGUAAAACUCUGUUAUUAGGGAAGAACAAACGUGUAAGUAACUGUGCACGUCUUGACGGUACCUAAUCAGAAAGCCACGGCUAACUACGUG